rnacentral:rRNA from 1 species
GAUGGGCGAUGCAAGCAUUCUCCGGAAUCACUGGGCGUAAAGCGUCUGUAGGUGGUGAUGCAAGUCACUGGUGCAAAAUUCUGGCACAACCGGAGGAAAGCCAGUGAAACUGCAUGACUAGAUGGUGGGAGAGGUAGAAGGAAUUCCAUGAGUAGCGGUGAAAUGCGUAGAUACAGGGAAGAACACCGGAGGCGAAAGCGUUCUACUGGAACACAACUGACACUGAGAGAUGAAAGCUAGUGGAGCGAAUGGG